GAUGAACGCUGGCGGCGUGCCUAAUACAUGCAAGUCGAGCGAAUGGAUUAAGAGCUUGCUCUUAUGAAGUUAGCGGCGGACGGGUGAGUAACACGUGGGUAACCUGCCCAUAAGACUGGGAUAACUCCGGGAAACCGGGGCUAAUACCGGAUAACAUUUUGAACCGCAUGGUUCGAAAUUGAAAGGCGGCUUCGGCUGUCACUUAUGGAUGGACCCGCGUCGCAUUAGCUAGUUGGUGAGGUAACGGCUCACCAAGGCAACGAUGCGUAGCCGACCGGAGAGGGUGAUCGGCCACACUGGGACUGAGCCACGGCCCAGACCCCUACGGGAGGCAGCAGUAGGGAAUCUUCCGCAAUGGACGAAAGUCUGACGGAGCAACGCCGCGUGAGUGAUGAAGGCUUUCGGGUCGUAAAACUCUGUUGUUAGGGAAGAACAAGUGCUAGUUGAAUAAGCUGGCACCUUGACGGUACCUAACCAGAAAGCCACGGCUAACUACGUGCCAGCCGCCGCCGUAA
rnacentral:rRNA from 1 species